rnacentral:rRNA from 1 species
UACAGAGGGUGCGAGCGUUAAUCGGAAUUACUGGGCGUAAAGCGCGUGUAGGCUGCUCCGAAAGUCGGAUGUGAAAGCCCUGGGCUCAACCUAGGAAGUGCAUUCGAAACUUCGGAGCUGGAGUCCUGGAGAGGAAGGCGGAAUUCUCGGUGUAGAGGUGAAAUUCGUAGAUAUCGAGAGGAACACCGGUGGCGAAGGCGGCCUUCUGGACAGUGACUGACGCUGAGACGCGAAAGCGUGGGGAGCAAACAGG